UACGAAGGGGGCUAGCGUUGCUCGGAAUUACUGGGCGUAAAGCGCGCGUAGGCGGCUUUGUAAGUUAGAGGUGAAAGCCCGGAGCUCAACUCCGGAACUGCCUUUAAGACUGCAUCGCUAGAACGUCGGAGAGGUAAGUGGAAUUCCGAGUGUAGAGGUGAAAUUCGUAGAUAUUCGGAAGAACACCAGUGGCGAAGGCGACUUACUGGACGACUGUUGACGCUGAGGUGCGAAAGCGUGGGGAGCAAACAGG
rnacentral:rRNA from 1 species